UACGGGGGGAGCAAGCGUUGUUCGGAUUUACUGGGCGUAAAGGGCGCGUAGGCGGCCAGCGCAAGUCAGUUGUGAAAUCUCCGGGCUUAACUCGGAACGGUCAACUGAUACUGCGCGGCUAGAGUGCAGAAGGGGCAACUGGAAUUCUCGGUGUAGCGGUGAAAUGCGUAGAUAUCGAGAGGAACACCUGCGGCGAAGGCGGGUUGCUGGGCUGACACUGACGCUGAUGCGCGAAAGCGUGGGGAGCGAACAGG
rnacentral:rRNA from 1 species